AGCUGCUGCCAAGAAGUGGCAACAAAACGUUGGCUGCCGCAAGCCCAGAGCGACGCACCACAUGCAUACAUACAUAUGCACAAAUAUAAUAAACAUUUUUAAAUUAAUAAUAUACGAAUAUCAAUUGAGCUUGCAAUUGUGCUGUGUCUCUGUGUUUGUGUGUAGUAGUAGUUGUAGUUGUUGUUGUUGUUGUUGCUGCCGCUCUCGCUGCGUCCGCCCGCUUAUUUGAGUGUAUACACACAUAUACGCACACAUACGCAGCGCACUGCAGCUGUGUUUGUGAAUUUUGUGGUACAUUUUGCGCUCGCAUCGUUUACAGAUUUUUGUGGUGGCAAAUAGUUGUUGCAUAGCCUUCAUACAACACACAGCAACAGCCACAAUUACUAACACUGCGACAAGUGGCAGCAACCGAGCGAACAGUCGAACAGUCGAACGGGCGAACGAGCGAGCAACAACAGCAACAACAACAACAACAACAACAAUAACAACAGCAACGUUUUGUUGUUUUGUUAAUUGAAAUAAAUUGAUAUAAAUUCUCAACGUGCUGCUCAUAUUGUUAAUAAAUACAACAACAACAACACGAAUAAACAACACGGCAGCAGAAAAAAAAAAAAAAAUAAAUCAACUAAAUUUGUGAGCAAAAAAAUAGCUUGUUUUAGUUGCCUGCGAGGCGCCAAAUGUUUUACAGUUAACACAAAUGAAAACAAUUAAUGAACACGCAAAUUGGCCGCAAACAAAAAUUAACAGCUAAUUCAAAAAAACAACAUUCAAACAAACUCAUCUUCUGCAAAUUAGAUUGGAAUUUGGGCAAGUGCAAGUGUGUACACAGUGCAAAAGUGUGCACAAAUUGUUUUUAUUAUAUCAAUUAUAAUUUGUGCUUAAUUAUUUUUUUUUUUUUGGUACCAGCAAUUUGGCAUAUCUUACUUUGUUGUGCGUAUUUUUAGCGCUUAUGCAUAAACUGUGUGUGCGUGUGUGCGUGUGUGUGUUUAUGGUGGGCAUUGCAGCAAGCACACAAUUAAAAAUCAGUUGAAACAAGAAAUUGGCAAAAAAUAAAAACUAACAAAAAAAAAACGCCUUACAAGUAGAAGGCAAAAGAGGCGGCAAAUCUGUUACGUAAGCUGCGAGCGACAACAAGCGUAUGAGAGAGAGAAAGAAAGACACUUUCAGACAGACAGAGAAAGACAUAGCAGGAGAAAGAGAGAGAGAGAGAGAGCGAUAGAGAGUAGGGAAGCUGCUUAAAGGAUUGCAUCUGAAACGGGCCAACACACACACGCGCGCACACAAACACACGGGCGCGCGUUACACGUGUGUGUGUGUCAUGCGCAGAGCGCAUUUUGGUAGUGGCAGCAAAAGAGACCCCAACGAAACCAAAUACUUAAGAGUGUUUUAAGAGAGAGAGAGAGAGAGAGAGAGAGAAAGAGAGAACUAUUCUGGCCAUGGCCUUCUCGCGCCACAACAUCGAAAAGCGCCGACUCAUCGAGCUAGUUCGCCUCAAUCCCAUACUCUGGGACUGCCGCCUGCCCCACUACAAGCGCUCCGACAAAAAGAAGGCCAUCAAAUGGAACGAACUUGGCCGCAUGUUCAACGUGAACGGGGAACGAGUGCAGCGCACCUUCACCUCGCUCCGAGAGAUCUUCAGGCGGGAGCUGAAUCACGAGAAGAUGCUGGGCACCACACGCUUCAAGUCCAAAUGGGAAUACUACGAUGCCAUGGCAUUUCUCAAGGAGGUCAUCAGGGAGCGCAAAUCUCGUGAACGCAUCAAGAACACUUCCGUGGAGUCUGCCACCAACAACAACAACAACAACACAAACAAUGCUAGCAACAACAACAGUGCAAAUAUCAGCAGCAACAAUAACAACAACAAUACAAAUAGCAACAGCAACAGCAAUAACAACAACAACAAUAGCGUGGCACACGAUGAAUACCAAUAUUUUGCGCCCAGCGAUCCAAACAAUCCCAACAAUCAGCCAUUGAAAGCGAACAUCGCAGCAGUUAGUCAAGCGCCGCCAAUCCUGCCCAGCAUUAGCCAGUUGCCCGUCGGGCUGCAGCAGCAGGCGCAGCAUCUGCAGGCGCUCCAACUGCAGCCGGACGUGACAUUGACAUCGCUGCAGAAGACGACGCCAGCCAUUGUCCUGCCUCUGACAGUUGCCCCAAUGCCGGCCACAUCGCCCGCUGCGGUGCAGCUGUGCAGCAGUUCGCGUUCCUGCAGCAGCUCACCCUCCAUUUACAUCAAGGACGAGCCAGACUCGCCAGACGAGACGGGCAGUCGGUCGGCGUUCAAGUCGCGCCAGAAACUGGCCACCAUACGACCGCAGACCAAGCAGCAGCUGAAGGAACGCCUUCGGGUGGCCAAGGGGGACGGCGGAAGUGGGCUUUAUGCAACGCCACCGCCGCAUCUGAUUAUCAGUACCAACAACGAGCUGAUCGACGUGGAUGCUGGUGACUUGGAGGAUGACGAUGACGACGAUCUGGAGUACGACGAUGAUGACGAUGACGAUGAGGACCGAACGGCCUGUCCGCCCAAUGCCGGCGUUAAUAUGCUCGCCCCCGACGGUCAACUCUCGCCUGGCAGCAGCUUCACUGGCGCCGGCGCGACAAGUGGGCGCCAUCAGCCUAGUCCCCGGGAGCUGCUCUAUAUCAAAUUUGGUGACUUUCUUGCCGCACGACUGAAUACCCUGCACGAAACGGUAGCCAAUGAGCUGAUGAACAAGAUCCUACUGCUAAUUGCUGAGAAGUGAGGAGUGGAGAGUACAGUUCGCCACGUGAAUCGAGGAAUCUAAUCCGUUCUAGCUGUGUGAGCGACGGAUAGCAGACAGAGCAUUCUUGCAGCAGCUACAAGGCUGCAUGCAACACGAUAUACAGAUAGAUAAUUGAAUGCCAGGAUCAGAUGAGACCAGACUGCAGCACAAAUGAGACAACCAAUUGCAGACCAUUCGAGCACAGAGCACAAAAGGAUGCUGGCCGUGAGGAGUAUCAAUAUUGACAGCCAUUAAUAUGGCCAAGUUAUACAAUAAGCAGUCAAUGGCAGCCCGGGUUAUUCAUGUAGCCAGGCGCACAGAGUUCUCUAUGGACUAUUGCAUUUUUAAUGAGCAGGAGGCGCCUCCGAUACGCUUCCGCUGUUGCCUGCCGACUGCCUGAUGACUGGGAAAGGCUUCCGCCUGCGUUUGGGAUAUUUGACAGCAUACGUAAAGCAGUGGCUGGUAUCAGGUUAAUUUGAGACGCAGCCAUAGGGAAAAGCCAACGGAAAGGCAGCGGAAACGCAGACACACACACACACGCACGCAAACACACACACACACACAAACGACCCAAGACUCUGCAUUGAGUACUCUGUGGCAACGUUGUCGUCGUCUCCUUCAACUCAGGCUUAAUGGCCGCAGGACAUGUCAAAAGAAUUGAUGACGUGCAGCGUCUUCGACGUGCGCUGCAAUCAUAAAACUGGCAACUGUCGGCCCAAAACCCCACCAAGCAGCCAAAUGAAAAAAAAAAUCUACUGCCAAUAAAAUCGUUUUAGAAAUGGAUUUGUCAGCUCCUUUGCCAGCGAUUAAUUUGAGUUACCUACAUUAGUU